CCUGACUGCUAUCGGAUUGAUACUAAGCCAUGCGAGUCAUUGUAGCAAUACAAGGCAGACGGCUCAGUAACGCGUAGUCAAUCUACCCUAUGGACGGGAAUAACCUCGGGAAACUGAGAAUAAUGCCCGAUAGAACAUUAUGCCUGGAAUGGUUUAUGUUUCAAAUGAUUUAUCGCCGUAGGAUGGGGCUGCGGCCUAUCAGUUUGUUGGUGAGGUAAUGGCCCACCAAGACUAUUACAGGUACGGGCUCUGAGAGGAGUAGCCCGGAGAUGGGUACUGAGACACGGACCCAGGCCCUAUGGGGCGCAGCAGGCGAGAAAACUUUGCAAUGUGCGAAAGCACGACAAGGUUAAUCCGAGUGGUUUCUGCUAAAGAAACCUUUUGUUAGUCCUAGAAACACUAUUGAAUAAGGGGUGGGCAAGUUCUGGUGUCAGCCGCCGCGGUAAAACCAGCACCUCAAGUGGUCAGGAUGAUUAUUGGGCCUAAAGCAUCCGUAGCUCGUUUUGUAAGUUUUCGGUUAAAUCCAUGCGCUUAACGUAUGGGCUGCCGGGAAUACUGCAUAACUAGGAAGUGGGAGAGGUAGACGGUACUCGGUAGGAAGGGGUAAAAUCCUUUGAUCUAUUGAUGACCACCUGUGGCGAAGGCGGUCUACCAGAACACGUUCGACGGUGAGGGAUGAAAGCUGGGGGAGCAAACCGGAUUAGAUACCCGGGUAGUCCCAGCUGUAAACUAUGCAAACUCAGUGAUGCAUUGGCUUGUGGCCAAUGCAGUGCUGCAGGGAAGCCGUUAAGUUUGCCGCCUGGGAAGUACGUACGCAAGUAUGAAACUUAAAG
rnacentral:rRNA from 1 species